AGACCCCGUGAACCUUUACUAUAGCUUGACACUGAACAUUGAGCCUUGAUGUGUAGGAUAGGUGGGAGGCUUUGAAGCGUGGACGCCAGUCUGCGUGGAGCCGACCUUGAAAUACCACCCUUUAAUGUUUGAUGUUCUAACGUGGACCCGUAAUCCGGGUUGCGGACAGUGUCUGGUGGGUAGUUUGACUGGGGCGGUCUCCUCCUAAAGAGUAACGGAGGAGCACGAAGGUUGGCUAAUCCUGGUCGGACAUCAGGAGGUUAGUGCAAUGGCAUAAGCCAGCUUGACUGCGAGCGUGACGGCGCGAGCAGGUGCGAAAGCAGGUCAUAGUGAUCCGGUGGUUCUGAAUGGAAGGGCCAUCGCUCAACGGAUAAAAGGUACUCCGGGGAUAACAGGCUGAUACCGCCCAAGAGUUCAUAUCGACGGCGGUGUUUGGCACCUCGAUGUCGGCUCAUCACAUCCUGGGGCUGAAGUAGGUCCCAAGGGUAUGGCUGUUCGCCAUUUAAAGUGGUACGCGAGCUGGGUUUAGAACGUCGUGAGACAGUUCGGUCCCUAUCUGCCGUGGGCGCUGGAGAACUGAGGGGGGCUGCUCCUAGUACGAGAGGACCGGAGUGGACGCAUCACUGGUGUUCGGGUUGUCAUGCCAAUGGCACUGCCCGGUAGCUAAAUGCGGAAGAGAUAAGUGCUGAAAGCAUCUAAGCACGAAACUUGCCCCGAGAUGAGUUCUCCCUGAGACUUUAGGUCUCCUGAAGGAACGUUGAAGACGACGACGUUGAUAGGCCGGGUGUGUAAGCGCAGCGAUGCGUUGAGCUAACCGGUACUAAUGAACCGUGAGGCUUAACCUUACA
rnacentral:rRNA from 1 species